UACAGAGGUCUCAAGCGUUGUUCGGAUUCAUUGGGCGUAAAGGGUGCGUAGGCGGCGCGGUAAGUCGGGUGUGAAAUCUCGGAGCUUAACUCCGAAACUGCAUUCGAUACUGCCGUGCUUGAGGACUGGAGAGGAGACUGGAAUUUACGGUGUAGCGGUGAAAUGCGUAGAUAUCGUAAGGAAGACCAGUGGCGAAGGCGGGUCUCUGGACAGUUCCUGACGCUGAGGCACGAAGGUCAGGGGAGCAAACGGG
rnacentral:rRNA from 4 species